GGGGGUUUAGCUCAGUGGUAGAGCGUCCGCUUUGCAUGCGGAAAGCCGCGGGUUCAAACCCCGCAACCUCCA
rfam:Allomyces macrogynus ATCC 38327 genomic scaffold supercont3.23, whole genome shotgun sequence.